GGGUGUCAUUGUGAUCCAGUUUCAUGAAGAAAAAAAAUGAAUAGAUUUAUAUAUAUUAUUUUGAUCAUAAAUAUAUUUAGAUUAGAUCUAAAGUGAUUUACGAUUCAUUACAAUAGGAUAAAAUUCAGAUAUAAAAUUAUUUUAGAUUUAAAUUAUAUAUUAUAUAUGAUGUAAUUGGUAUUGAUCUAAAGGUUAUCAUGAUACAUGAGAUGUAUGUAUGAAGUUUAGAUCAUAUCUAUGUAUAUUUAAUUAUUAAAUAUAUUAUAAAAAUUUAUUUUUAUGUAUUGAAAUAUAUGGUAUGCUUGAAGUAAAAUUUUAGUGCAGGG
rnacentral:lncRNA from 1 species